ensembl:lncRNA
ACAGUGAUUGGUUCAGGCCUGGUCACGAGACCCUAUCAGCUUUCCCCACGCACGUGCUGAGUUCUGCUGAGGAAUUGCAUCCAUUAAGUACGGUGGCCUUUCUGUAGCCACUGGGCCUUGCGGAUGAGCGCUUGCCACCCACACGCAGGCUUUGUUGGGGUCUCUUGGCCACACGCAAGAGGCAAACCUGCGCUUCGCAUUUGCCAAGGCUCCACAGAGAGCCUAGAAGCAGGCUGGAGUGCAGGGAGAUGACGAGAAGAAACUGUUCUGCUUUGCAGGCGUUGCUGCCCCUGUCUUGCAGAUGUUGCUACCUUGCAGAGAAAUUCACACGUUUGCAGCAAGACCCCUGCAAAAUGUCCCAGCCCCAAGUGUCCUAAAGUUACCUUAAACGUAUUAGCAUCGUAAAUUCUCCUUCUCUGGGAGGGUCCAAGCAGCCAUUUUCAGAUCGUGUGAUGUGUGUAAUAGCACGUGUACCUGCCAUGCAUGCGCCCUAAAGGGACACCGUGGUUUCAAAUGAGCAGCCAGAUUUCCUCUGCUCUCUGUGUAUAAAGCCCCCCACCGGCACUGAGCUCAGGGAACUCUGCUUUGGGAGCCAUCCCUCAUGUUCUCCAUCACUUGUGCAAGCAAUAAACCUGUUCUUCACCUGCUUCUGCCUUGUUCUGCUUCUCGGCUUCGCACUCACCAAGAGACAAACCCACCGACUUCGCUUCCAUCUCCUUGUAUUCGUUUUCUAUUCCUGCCGUAAUGAAUUACUAGUUUAGUGACUUAGAGUGACCACGUACUGUCUCCAGUUCUGUAGGUCAGAUGCCCGCUCACAGCCUGGCCCUGCUCUGCUUGGUCUCUCUCAAGGGGAGGCCAAGGAGUCGGCUGCUGGCUGCUCUCUCGGGGGCUCCGGGUGAAUCGGCUUGCAAGCCCAUUCAGUUGGCAGGUGUGGGACUGAGAUCUUUCUUACUGGAUGUCAUCCUGGGGUCACACUUAGCUUCUAGAGGACCCCCCCAUAUUCCCUGGCCCGUGGCUCCCUUCCAACCCAGCAAUGGAGGCUCAAGUCCCUCUGACUUUCCCUUCUGCCUCGUCGUGUGGAAUCUUCUGCCUCCUUCUACUUUUGAUUAAAUAUCUUUAUUGAUAUAAUCCGUGUAUCAUUCAAUUCACUAGUUUGUAAUUCAGUGUCUUCUAGGAUAUUCAUGGAAUUGUGCAACCACCACCACUGUCUAAUUUUUGAAUAUUUUUACUCUCCUCAAAAAC